rnacentral:rRNA from 1 species
AGAUUCGGUGACGCAGCUAACGCAUUAAGCACACCGCCUGGGGAGUACGGUCGCAAGAUUAAAACUCAAAGGAAUUGACGGGGACCCGCACAAGCGGUGGAGCAUGUUGUUUAAUUGGAAGCAACGCGAAGACCCUUACCUACACUUGACAUACUCGUCGGGGAUUACAGAGAUGUUUUCCUUCGGUUCGGCCGGACGAUGUACAGGUGCUGCACGGCCGUCGUCAGCUCGUGUCGUGAGAUGUUUGGUUUAGUCCAGCAACGAGCGCAACCCCUAUCGUAUGUUGCCAGCAUUAAGUUGGGCACUCAUGCGAGACCGCCGGUGUUAAGCCGGAGGAAGGUGGGGACGACGUCAAGUCAUCAUGGCCCUUACGUGUAGGGCUACAAACGUGCUACAAUGGCUACUACAGUGAGCAGCAACGUCGCGAGGCGAAGCUAAUCUCCAAAAGUAGUCUCAGUUCGGAUAGGACUCUGCAACUCGAGUCCUUGAAGUUGGAAUCGCUAGUAAUCGUGGAUCAGCAUGCCACGGUGAAUACGUUCCCGGGUCUUGUACACACCGCCCGUCACACCAUGGGAGUUGGUUCUACCCGAAGACGGUUUGCUAACUUAGGAGGCAGCCGGCCACGGUAGGGUCAGCGACUGGGGUGAAGUCGUAACAAGGUA